ACGGAAGGCAGCAGUGGGGAAUAUUGCACAAUGGGGGAAACCCUGAUGCAGCAACGCCGCGUGAGUGAAGAAGUAUUUCGGUAUGUAAAGCUCUAUCAGCAGGGAAGAUAAUGACGGUACCUGACUAAGAAGCACCGGCUAAAUACGUGCCAGCAGCCGCGGUAAUACGUAUGGUGCAAGCGUUAUCCGGAUUUACUGGGUGUAAAGGGUGCGUAGGUGGCAUGGUAAGUCAGAUGUGAAAUACCGGGGCUCAACCCCGGGGCUGCAUUUGAAACUGCCAGGCUGGAGUACAGGAGAGGCAAGCGGAAUUCCUAGUGUAGCGGUGAAAUGCGUAGAUAUUAGGAGGAACACCAGUGGCGAAGGCGGCUUGCUGGACAGUUACUGACACUGAGGCACGAAAGCGUGGGGAGCAAACAGGAUUAGAUACCCUGGUA
rnacentral:rRNA from 1 species